CCUGGCUGAGGUAGUAGUUUGUGCUGUUGGUCGGGUUGUGACAUUGCCCGCUGUGGAGAUAACUGCGCAAGCUACUGCCUUGCUAGUGCUGGUGAUGAUC
ensembl:miRNA MIRLET7I microRNA let-7i